CCUACGGGAGACAGCAGUGAGGAAUAUUGGUCAAUGGGCGCGAGCCUGAACCAGCCAUGUAGCGUGAAGGACGACUGCUCUACGGGUUGUAAACUGCUUUUAUAAAGGGAUAAAGUGAGUUACGUGUGCCGUUUUGUAUGUACUUUAUGAAUAAGGAUCGGCUAACUCCGUGCCAGCAGCCGCGGUAAUACGGAGGAUCCGAGCGUUAUCCGGAUUUAUUGGGUUUAAAGGGUGCGUAGAUGGUUUUUUAAGUCAGUUGUGAAAUUUUGCGGCUCAACAGUGAAGUUGCAAUUGAUACUGGAAGACUAGAGUACAGAUGAGGUAGGCGGAAUGCGUGGUGUAGCGGUGAAAUGCUUAGAUAUCACGCAGAACUCCGAUUGCGAAGGCAGCCUGCUAGACUGCCACUGACACUGAUGCUCGAAAGCGUGGGUAUCAAACAGGAUUAGAUACCCGGGUAGUC
rnacentral:rRNA from 1 species